CUGAGGUACCGGUGUCUGCUGAGCCCCCUUGGAACUUCAGAGUGGCUCAUGAAAGGAAAAUGGGAAAGAAGUCAUUCUCCAACAGCAAAUAUUUUUAAAAAUUAUUUCUACGUAAUGUACAUUUAACAUUUCAAAGGAUCAGCUGUUAAAGCAAGCUAUUGCCAAAUAUAGAUUCAUGAAAUUAGAAGACAUAUAGCCCUCCGACCUUCAAAUAGAAUGCAAUUUAUGUCUCUCAACAAAGCACAGAUAUAAAGGUGCUCUCUCUCCUGAAGUCAUCAUAUCAGAACUUCAGACAAGAACAGCUCAAUGGAUGUGGAUGACAGGCACAUCGAGAGGAGUCCCAAGACUUAGUUCUUAUGGAUUUUCAGCUCACCUAAACAAAUUAUCUAAUUCAUUUCAUGAUUGACCAGAUAAAAAAGUAUCUCUAGUGGGCAUCUUUGCUUAUGUCUACAUUUGCUGAAUCUGUAGGACCUGAAGGGUUUCCAUGCUUACCUGACUCCAUCUCAGCUCGUGCUGGUUCCACACAAGAUCCCUGGCUCUGUAAGAAGCAGAUUCCACUUCUUUGACUCAGCAUCCACACACAUAACUCAUUCAUAAACUGAACAGCUCUAAGUCUCCACCUUCAAAGAAGCAACUGCUUUUCCUACAACUAAGAUAGUCAGCCACAGCCUUGCUAGGUGUUCACUAACCAUUCCAUUUACCUUCAGCAAAGCCUGCAUUUCCCAGUGUUCUUUGCAUCCAGAUCUGUGACUAGUUCUGAUCUAAGAAACUUGGACACAGUGAUGUUUGCCUCUUAUGGAACUGACUCUCGAGCUCCUGCCAUGGUAACUCACUCCCACAGUCAACUCUUCACCACCAUUAGCUUCCACAAACUAUGAGACUUCACCUUCACUUCAGUGCCACAGGGAAGAAGAGGGGAGCCUAGGGGAUAGACCUGAACUCUCUUUUUGUCUAAAUCUGUUCAAAUGUCUUCGGUGUUGAUCCAGCUACCUCCUGUGAAGCAGCCCCUUCCAUAUCUCCCAAGGGAAAUUGGCCCACCUGGGGACCAUGAACAUCUUCACUCCUGUGGCCUUCUGCUCUCCUGAGGUGCAUUCCAAUCUAGUCUAUCUUUUUGACUUAAAUGAAGUUUUCUCAAUACGUUGCAGUCUGUGUGAGUUUU